AGUGAACGCUGGCGGCGUGCCUAACACAUGCAAGUCGAACGAGAACGGGUUUAAGUUUACUUAAACUGUCAGCUAAGUGGCGCACGGGUGAGUAAGAUAUAGUUAACCUGCCCUCUAGAAAGGAAUAACAGUUAGAAAUGACUGCUAAUGCCUUAUAUGCCUUUUUAACAUAAGUUGGUAAAGGGAAAUGCUUUAGUGCUAGAGGAUGGGACUGUAUAGUAUCAGAUAGUUGGUGGGGUAAUGGCCUACCAAGUCAAUGACGCUUAACUGGUUUGAGAGGAUGAUCAGUCACACUGGAACUGAGACACGGUCCAGACUCCUACGGGAGGCAGCAGUGGGGAAUAUUGCACAAUGGACGAAAGUCUGAUGCAGCAACGCCGCGUGGAGGAUGACACAUUUCGGUGCGUAAACUCCUUUUAUAUAGGAAGAUAAUGACGGUACUAUAUGAAUAAGCACCGGCUAACUCCGUGCCAGCAGCCGCGGUAAUACGGAGGGUGCAAGCGUUACUCGGAAUCACUGGGCGUAAAGAGCAUGUAGGCGGAUUGAUAAGUUUGAAGUGAAAUCCUAUAGCUUAACUAUAGAACUGCUUUGAAAACUGUUAAUCUAGAAUAUGGGAGAGGUAGAUGGAAUUUCUGGUGUAGGGGUAAAAUCCGUAGAGAUCAGAAGGAAUACCGAUUGCGAAGGCGAUCUACUGGAACAUUAUUUGACGCUCAGAUGCGAAAGCGUGGGGAGCAAACAGGA
rnacentral:rRNA from 1 species